ACCAGAGGCUGCACUACGUCACCACGCUUUCGGAUAGCGGGCGCGCGCUCUCCUUCUUCCCGUCUUGGUUUCCUGACCUAAAGCUAAUUUCCCAGCUGAAUAUAUAUCUUGGAUUUCAUUCAACUGUCAUCUGCCAAAUAGCUAGACUCCUGAGCAUUUCCAUUAUGCAGCAUCAAAAAAAUUGCAGCUAGAAGCUAAAGUGUUACUUAUGUAAGGAACUAAAGAGAUCAGAAAGGAGUUCCAAGAAGAUCUGCUGCAGUGACAGCACACAAAGAGCCCAGUUCCAGGAGUCUUUGGACAAGCCUGAUGCAGUUGUUGCUGCUGAGAGCAACAGUCAGUUGGUGCAGCCACUUGAGUCACAGCUUGUUGAUCCUGAGGAGGCAAAACUAGAAAGUGAAGUUCAGAAAGGAGGCCCUGUGCAUGAGGAGGAGGGGGGCAUGAAGCAGUGCCAGUUGCCAACAGCCACAUCUGCAGAACAGCAAGUACCACGGUUUGGGUUUGAGAAAGCUUGUACGAGGCAAUUACUGCCUUCCAAGGAUCAAAACUCUGAGAUCAGCUGUUUCCUCCACAUCUAAAGUAAAGAAACAUUUCGAGAGGGCACACCCUGAGAAGGUGAGAGCAAUUGAAGAAGCAAUAAAGGCAAGGAGACGUGGCCAUCCUGAACCAAUGUAUGAUGCCCCUCCUUCCAAAAUGCUGAAGCAGCAGCAGACAACCCUUGAGACGGGGGCGGGAUGCGCUCCUGAAGAGUUUCAAUGACAAAAGGAUCUCCCUGGCCCAUUCACCAGUUGAUGGGCACCUGAUAGACCCAUUAACCCGCCUGGCCACUCUAUUAGAUUAACAAAAGAAACUCAUCUGACCAGCAGAGUGGGUUUCUCAUCCCCAGGCGCAAGGAUUCCAAAUCAGAGGCUGGAAGGGGACUCACAGAAAUCAUCUAUCUCGACCCCAGACCCAUAACAAUAUGUACAAAAGAGACAGCCUUCUCUGUAGUGGCUCCCCAAUUGGGGAAUGCCCCCUGCAGGGAGGUAUGCCAGGCACUGACACUGCAUUAUUUUCAGCACCAGGCUAAACUCUUAUUAUUUGCCUAUUUAAAUUGUGAUAAUUUUGGCUGGAUGAAUAAUUUUAUCCCUCUUGAUCUUAUUUUAGUGUUGGUUUGUGUUGUAGUGUUUCUGUAGUUUUAAAUUUUAAAUGUGAAACACCAGUUUAAAACCACCUUGAAAUUCAUUUUUGUAAAUGUUGCUUUAUACAUUAAAAUAUAAUAAAUUAAUACAAACAUG